rnacentral:lncRNA from 1 species
UUUUGUUUUGUUUUUGUUGUGGUUUUCUAUUUGCUUUGCUUUGUCUUUAUUUACUCCUAUCUAGAUGAUACAUAGCCAGCGCCCCCAUGUAGCAUCCCUACAUUACCAUGUUAUGAGUUUAAAACGGGAGCCAUGUUGAUGUACAGGAAAAAGCUGAAGAUUUCUCCUUUCACCCUUCUCAGUCCUGAUCUCUGCUUUCUAAAAGUCCCAUUCCAUCACGUUGAUUUCGCUUGGCAGUUUGAAAGAACUAGAGAACGCAUGACUCGAAUUGAAACAAACACACAACUACUUACACAGAAGAUACAGGAUGCGGAUGAACGUGCAUUCUGACUUGGGCAUGCUUGUGGGUUUUUUGGGGUGCAUAGCGGCGAAUAAAGAUGGCAGGCAGGGUGGGCCAUGGGUGUAGGAGGUGAGGUGCUACAGCGUUAUGGCUGCAGAGAGGAUGCUCAGCAGACGCUGCAACCCCACAUGCAGAACACAAGGGGGAGAGGCAGCUCCACUCAGAGCAUAGAAGCUCACUCUACACUACCUCUCCGCUAUACACAAUGCCAGCUCACCUGUGGCCAACGUGGUACUAAUAAAGUUUUUGUUGAAA